rnacentral:rRNA from 1 species
AUGAACGCUGGCGGCGUGCCUAAUACAUGCAAGUCGCGCGAACGGACGAGAAGCUUGCUUCUCUGAUGUUAGCGGCGGACGGGUGAGUAACACGUGGAUAACCUACCUAUAAGACUGGGAUAACUUCGGGAAACCGGAGCUAAUACCGGAUAAUAUUUUGAACCGCAUGGUUCAAAAGUAAAAGACGGUCUUGCUGUCACUUAUAGAUGGAUCCGCGCUGCAUUAGCUAGUUGGUAAGGUAACGGCUUACCAAGGCAACGAUGCAUAGCCGACCUGAGAGGGUGAUCGGCCACACUGGAACUGAGACACGGUCCAGACUCCUACGGGAGGCAGCAGUAGGGAAUCUUCCGCAAUGGGCGAAAGCCUGACGGAGCAACGCCGCGUGAGUGAUGAAGGUCUUCGGAUCGUAAAACUCUGUUAUUAGGGAAGAGCAUAUGUGUAAGUAACUGUGCACAUCUUGACGGUACCUAAUCAGAAAGCCACGGCUAACUACGUG